rnacentral:rRNA from 1 species
AUUGAACGCUGGCGGCAUGCUUUACACAUGCAAGUCGAACGGCAGCACGGGAACUUGUUCCUGGUGGCGAGUGGCGGACGGGUGAGUAAUACAUCGGAACAUGUCCUAUAGUGGGGGAUAACUUGGCGAAAGUCGAGCUAAUACCGCAUACGACCUGAGGGUGAAAGCUGGGGAUCUUCGGACCUGGCGCUAUAGGGUUGGCCGAUGGCUAAUUAGCUAGUUGGUGGGGUAAGAGCCUACCAAGGCGACGAUUAGUAGCUGGUCUGAGAGGAUGAUCAGCCACACUGGGACUGAGACACGGCCCAGACUCCUACGGGAGGCAGCAGUGGGGAAUUUUGGACAAUGGGGGCAACCCUGAUCCAGCAAUGCCGCGUGAGUGAAGAAGGCUUUCGGGUUGUAAAGCUCUUUCGGUUGGGAAGAAGGAAUUUGUGCUAAUACCACAGAGACUUGACGGUACCAACAUAAGAAGCACCGGCUAACUACGUG